rnacentral:rRNA from 1 species
GGUUGCGAUCAUACCAGCACUAAUGCAGCGGAUCCCAUCAGAACUCCGCAGUUAAGCGUGCUUGGGCGAGAGUAGUACUAGGAUGGGUGACCCCCUGGGAAGUCCUCGUGUUGCAACCCC